rnacentral:misc_RNA from 1 species
GAUGAUGAACGUAGCGAAAUGCGAUAAGUAAUGUGAAUUGCAGAAUUCAGUGAAUCAUCGAAUCUUUGAACGCACAUUGCGCCCAUUAGCAUUCUAGUGGGCAUGCCUGUUCGAGCGUCAUUUCAACCCUUAAGCCCUGUUGCUUAGCGUUGGGAGCCUACAGUACUGUAGCUCCCCAAAGUUAGUGGCGGAGUCGGUUUCACACUCUAGACGUAGUAAUUUUUUCUCGUCUGUAGUUGAGCCGGUCCCCUGCCGUAAAACACCCAAUUUAUCAAGGUUGACCUCGGAUCAGGUAGGAAUACCCGCUGAACUUAAGCAUAUCAAUAAGCGGAGGA